GGAAUCGGAACUGGACGUAGAUCACAACGACCGAAUCACUAUAAAUCUAAUGCGUUCUUUCCUUAUUACUUACUUUCAUUACUUAGUUGCACUCUGCAUUGUUCAUUUACUUCAAGUCGACAUCUUCUCGAUAUGAUUUCUUCAUUACGUUUUUAUCAACAAGGAAAGAUUUGGAAUUGUAAUUGUAAUUUUUAUCACUGCAC
rnacentral:lncRNA from 1 species